AAUCAACAAAGUCACGUUUGCUCGUUGUAAGAGAAAAUGAAAAUAAAGAAUAAGAGGAUUAAGAUGUGGGAAUUAAAGGUGAAGGAGGAAAAAAGAUAGAAACAGGAGGAAAGAGAAGAGAAAGAUGAGUAUGAUAAGAUAAAAGUAAAGAAGAGUGAAAGUGGGGAAUAAAGAAGAGGUAGGCCAAAAGAGAAAGAGCAUGAGGAGAACAGAAAAGGAAGAUCAAAGUAUUAAGAGGAAGACAAAAGGACAAUGAAGAAGAGGAUCACAAACAAUAAAAGAGAAGACAAAGGAAGUAAAGGAGGCGAGGAAGAUGAGUAAGACAACAAACGUAAGGAGGGAUAGGAAGAGGAAGAGUAAAAUGAUGAAAAGAAUAAAAAGUAAGUGGAAAGAAGGAUGAAGGAAGAAAGAAAGAGAAAGAAAGAAAGAAAGAAAGAACGAGGAUGAAGAUUGAAGAUCAAAAGAACAGGGAGGAGGAAGUAAAGAAAGGAAGAUGAAGAUGAGAAAGAAAUAGAAACAUGAACUGGAAGGGAAAGGUGAAGGAAAGGAAGAUGAAAACGAGCAGAAAGAUGAGAAAGUAGAAGAAGAGGAAGAUAAAAUCACAAGGAAGGGAAGGGUGAAAGAAAGAAAGGAUGAUGAAAGGACGAGGUGAACAGAAGUGUACAGAAGGGUACAGAAAGGACGAGGUGAAGUAGAGGAAGCGGAAGUGGAGGUUUUUAUACAGGAUGUAAAGAUAUAACCGAACUGAAAAAUAAAAAUUACGUUUCACGAGUGUUUGUGCGUGUGCGCGCGCACGUAGGCCCCGCCCAUCCAAAUUUCCUCUCCUCCUCGGUUCGUGUCUCGCGCGUGCGCACGGCCCCGUUUUUGCAGGAAAAAGGAGAGAGAGAGAGAGAGAGAGAGAGAGAGAGAGAGAGAGACGCGUUGAGAUUGGAGGGGAUCUGAGUUUCCUGAAGAAAAGCAGGCCGCGGAUCAGAAUCUCAGCGCGCGAGGCUUUAACACCGGAACAGCUUCUCUCACAUCUCCUGUUCUCUCCUGGUUUUCCGGUUGUCCCUCUGCGUUUCUGCGUGUCCCGGAUGUGGACAUGGCUGUGAGGUGGUCAUGGCGUGAGUCAGCGGCGGUUUCACUCGGACACAGAGCGACUGUGUGAAAGCACUUCAUCAGUCUGAUUCACUGGAAUAUAGAGACGCUGUGAAAAUGCAGAAAAGACGGAGAACGUCUUCAUCCUGCGUCACUUUGUUCCUCUGGUCCGUUCUUCUCUCACUCGUCCUGCCCAGGUGUGUGUCCGGUGCAGGUACGGACAAAACGGACAAAACAGUGGUGAACAAAGAGGAAUAUUACAGUGCUACAAUUAACGCCACCGUGCAGGACGUCAGGGGGAAUGCCAAGCGGGUGAUAUCGAAGGAGGACGGCAGGUACGGACAGAACUCGCCCAGAUCAGAGGUGAAGGGGAUAAUAAUUACACCUGCUGCAGUCAACGGAGUGGUGGAUAUGCAGGGCUGCUGUCCGUACACUCGUUUCAUCAUUCCUCCAAAGACGACGCACUGGAUCGCUCUGCUUCAGAGAGGGAAGUGCAUGUUUAAGGAGAAGAUCCUGAAGGCUGCUGCCUUUAACGCCUCCGCAGUACUCAUCUACAACAACAGCUCCAAAGAGGACACGGUCACCAUGGCACAUGAAGGCACCGGGGACACGGUGGCAGUGAUGAUUACUGAGUCGUUGGGGAAGGACCUGCUGUCUUUCUUGGAGAAGAACGAGACAGUGUGGGUUUCGGUGUCUGUCGGUUCUCGAGGUUCGGUGAAGAACCUGAACCGUGGCUCACUGGUGUUCGUCUCCGUCUCCUUCAUCGUCCUGAUGAUCAUCUCCUCCGCCUGGCUCAUCUUCUACUUCAUUCAGAAGAUCAGAGACACUAAUGCUCGAGAUCGAAGUCAGCGACGGCUCGGAGACGCUGCGAAGAAAGCGAUCAGUAAAUUGACGACUCGGACGGUGAAGAGAGGCGACAAGGAAGCAGAACCUGAUUUUAAUCAUUGUGCUGUGUGCAUCGAAGGCUAUCAGCUGAACGACGUGGUCCGCAUCUUACCCUGCAAACAUGUUUUCCAUAAGAUGUGUGUGGAUCCGUGGCUGAACGAACACUGCACCUGUCCCAUGUGUAAACUCAACAUCCUCAAAGCUCUGGGCAUCAUGCCCAACCUGAAGUGUGUAGAUAACGUGGCGUUUGAUAUGGAGCGGAUGACACGCACUCACUCCUCCAGCCAGAGGGUGGCGCUGAUGGAUGUGUCGUCUGAGACGAGUGUCAGUGUGGAGCCUCUCACACGCUCCGGCUCGUCCCAGCUGCUGUCCGAGUCCGAGCUCUCACACACACACACACACCGCAGCGGGGAGAUCAACAUCGCCGUCACCAAAGAGUGGUUUAUUGUGGGCAGCUUCGCCGUCCUCAGUGUUUUAACGCUGUGCUACAUGAUCAUCAGAGCCACCGGCAACUACGACAACACGGCAUUGGACACGGCGUGAAGACGGACGUCGGAUUUCCAAAUUAAAUCAUUACUUCAUUACAAGAUUUUCUUCAUGACGGCGUCUUGCAGUUCAUUAAUGAAGUUCUGGUUCUGUUUAUUUGUAGUUUUUGAGAUCCAUAUCUUAUCUUCGGUCAGUUUUAAUGGUUCUUCUUACCGGGUGUUUUAUUUUCACGUCUUCGUGCAGUGUUAUGAAGUGUUUAUUUUUUUAAACACCAGUAAGUUUUUCUUCAUUUGAUUGGCAUUGAUACGCCUUUUAUUACACUGCAGAUCCCUCAUCCGUCUGAAAUGUCUCCGUCUCGGCGUUAAAUACGUCGUAGUGUGACGUGUGAAGAGGAUUUAUCGCUUCCUGACAGCCGGCUUAAAACCCAUUCUCAAGUGGCCAUUUUUUCGGCCGGACCUCGGGAUCUCCGCGAAGCGUGGUGUGUGAGAUGGAGCUGCCGGAUAUUCAGACGUCUUUGGACAUGUACGACGAGAACAAAUCCUGAGGACACGCUUCCUGUUGACCUUUGACCCCUGUGCCCCACUCCCCAGAGCGUGUUUCCAGCGAAAGUGCUGAAACUCUGACGCUCGAGGACUUUCAGGACUCUUGCUUUACAGAGAGUUUGUUUUAUUUGUUUGUUGUGACUGAACUCGGUCCGUGUUUGUCAUCUGAAAAUUGUCUUUAGCUCCAUGAUGGAGUUUCGGAUGGACAAUCGUGACUGAUGGAUGACCUUUGACCCUUUGAGGAACGAUUUACCGGCUGAUUUUAAGGCUCAGGUCAUGUCCCAAACGCUAGGGUUCUGUAGAAGUGUUCUCAUUGGGCCGCUAGCAAUGAGAGGGCAUAAUUAGCUAAUAUUCUGCUAGCAAAUCAGUGACGAGUGAACACGACAGAUUUCACCACUAGCUAUGUUCCAGAUAACGUAGCUUUAAGGUUAGACUUCACGCCAAUCACAGUGAAAGUUUCUGUGUAACAGUUUUAUCGUUGUUUUGAUCAUCGAUGGCGUUAGCUUCAGAAAAUAUCACCAAAUUCUGUGCAAAAUAAACAACAUACAGGGAUAUUCUUACUACUGUGCAAGCCAGAGAAUCGGCUGUGAACGUUAUAUUUAGCGUGAAUAAUUUUACAACUAAUUGUGAAAACAUCCAGAUGAUGCUUAGCUAACUUCAGCUAAUCGCUCUGCAACACUAACAAAAUUGAUGACAAAACAUAGUUGAACAUUAAUAAUAAAGUACAAUGUUUUCCAUCCAUUUAAAACAGAAACUUAGUAUAAAACAGAUAUGGGAGUUAAGGUGGUUGUGUCCAUAAGCCGUUCUGGACCAAUUACGUCUGAGGUCUAUUCUUUGAACCUGCUUUGCUAAGUUAGCUACCAGGAGCUUGGCAGUGUGUUAGCAAAGCUAGAAGGAUCCCAAGCCCUCCCCCACACCCACAUUUGUUUUGUAAAUUUGCUUCAACCUGUCUCACAUAGAAGAGGAAGCUAAAAUGAAUCUGCUCAGAAUUCAGAAAAAAUUCUAACUAUGCUAACACACUUGCUAAUCACUUUAAUUCUCCAUCCUGCAUUUGCUAAUUUGCAAAUUUAACCCUCAAUAGCUAACAUAGCUCGAUAGCACAGGUUCCUGAAGUAAAAGUUUCCAGGUUCCAUUUCAUCAUUUGCAUAUAAGAUGUGAUUGGUGGAUUGGUGGACAUUAACUUGUGACUUCGGGCUCAUACAUGUGUAGCUCCGCCCCCAAAUCAGUUUCAUACAGAAAUCCCGAGAAAGUUUCUGUUUUAUCUGAAAUGAAUGAAAUAGGUCAAAUGUGGUGUACUUACAUAUUACGACGUUCCAGAUUAUUCUAAACAUGUUAAUAUUCGUGAUACUGGUUGUCAUGGUAACCUCAGCUAGCUAGCAGUUAAAUGGCUAAAGUUCCAGUAAGAACACCAAGGAGACAGGAACGUUAGCGUUUGGGACGGAUCCGGAAUCUCCUGAACCUCUUCCUCUUUAUGAGCUCGAUGUAGCUUCAAACCACACAAACUCCAGAUGAAUCAGCGUUACUUCCAUCUAUAAACAGUAUAUAAACCUGUAACUAACAACAUGCCUGGUACACUUCAGUACUAAUAAUCUAUAUAUAUAUAGAUAUACACACACACACACAAUAUAUAUAUGAUUAUAUCCAGUAUUCGCAUAUAUACACAUCCACUUAUACUUAUAUCUCUCUCGGUGACCUCGUAGCACCGUCCGUGUGUGUGUGUGUGUGUGUGUGUGUGUGUGUGUGUGUGUGUGUGGCUGCGAGUUCAUCUGUUGUCUCUUUGUGUUCCUGAUUUCUUGUAUUUGGAUUUGCAUUUUCCAUUCUGGGUGAUUUUAUUCUUUUUAUUUCAGAUUUCAGAAAAUGAACAGGUGAGUUUAAUGUGAUUGGUGGCUUUGUGAUGAUGAUGGACCUUCUGUGUUACUUUAUGCUUCAUUAAAAUGUGUCAUAAUUGCA